rnacentral:ribozyme from 1 species
UUCAGACUGAACGAAAGCACUUUUUGUGUUGUGAACCUCUUACGUAACCAAC